UCUGAAUGUUGACCUCGGAUCAGGUAGGAAUACCCGCUG
rnacentral:rRNA from 1 species